rnacentral:lncRNA from 1 species
CCUGGAGAAGAUUGGAGGAAUUCCUGGAGGAAUGUUGCAUCCCUGAAGGAGGAGAAUCUAAGAUGCAGAACCGAGGAAGAUAAAGAUGGAGCUGUGUAUGCAGAAGAGAUUAAGACUACGUGGAACCAGUGCCUGACAAUUCACAGAGCAUUUCCUGGGCUUCUGAAUGUUGGAGCUCAAACGCUGCACAAACAUUAGAGACUCGUGCUGUCUGAGGUGGCAGUGAAAUAGGAGGAUUCUGUACUUCACCUUUUUGCAGAGACCAAAGCUCUAACACCUGAAAAGAUGAAACCUGCCAGCUCCCAGCUGAUGUUACAGCCUGAGUGGAAAGGCCUGUGUUGGCCUUCACUAUCUUAAAAUUUGCCCUUAUCUCUGCUCUUCCAGAGUUGGUGUUUCAGAAAUUACUCCACCAAGUUGUUGCAUUUUUGUGGGGCUUGUGUAGCUGACCUACCUAUAGUGCUUUGAAAAGUCCAGUCCUUAGGAAUCCAGUGUUGCUUUAUGGCGCAAAACCAUCAUCAAUAAAAGUUUAUAGAUUUAAAUAAAG